AUAAACGCACGCGAGCUGACAAAGUAAGUUAACGCGCUUUCAGAAAUGUUCACUUGAAUCACAGCAGGAAGAAAAUCCAUCGACGAUUGGCGUCUGAUUCGCUCUAAAAAGUAAUGUUUGUUCAGAUAUCCUGAGUAGCUGUUAUUCAACAUAAACACAUUUCCGCACACAUGAAGAUGGAUGACGAUAGUUCAUCUUAAAAUGAAACUUAUGUUUAUCAGCUUACCCCCAGGCCAUCCAAGAGAUGCUCUUAAGAACAACGCCCUGAUGUCCAAGGUCAACCAGCAAGAAGCUGAGAAGGCACUGCCAAAAUGGUUUACUGGGGCAAGGGACAGAGGAGGACAGAGAGCAUCAAGAAUGCAGAAAAGGAUGUCUGUUUGAGAAAGGUUAAAACUACAGUUGUUGAUUUGAACUGUUGUAGUUCUUUAAUUUUUCUUAAAGGAAAACACAAUCAUUUUUCAAUAUUUACCAUGUUCUUCCCUCAACUUAGAUGAAUUAAUACAAACCUCUCUUUUCUCAAUGUGUGCACUUAAAGGUGGGGUGCACAAUUUCUAAAAAAACGUUUUGGAAAAGGGAGACAGGCCGACUAUCAAAACACACUUGUAGCCAAUUAGCAGCAUGUCUACUAAAUGACAUCGUUGCCUGGGUUGCGUUUGUGUGGGGCGGGUCUAUCAAAAGAAGGUCCAGAUUCUAUUAGGGUAAGGGUGUGUUUGUUUAGAUGAUUUCAAAUAUCAACAUUGGCUUUCAUGCACCCUGCCUUUAUUUGUUGUAAAGUGUGGCGUGAAUGUGUUAGCAUUUAGCCAAGCACCAUUCAUUCAUUAGGAUCCAAACAGGGAUGAAUUUAAUAGCCACCAAACACUUCCAUGUUUUCCCUAUUCAAAGACUGUUACAUGAGUAGUUACACGAGGAAGUAUGGUAAAAAAUAUAACUAUAUUGUAUGGCGGAAGAGCACUUAGUUUGUAGCACUCGACCUUGGGCACAGUAACAUCAUCACUCCUGACUACUCCCCCUCUUGCUUAAACUACAGUCAACAUAACCAACACGCCUGUACUAAUGUUAGUACAUCGAGCAGACUCUGCGAAAUAUCAAGUUAAGUUUAAGUGUACGCAUUGAGAAAAGAGAGAUAUGUAUUUAUUCGGCUAAGUUGAUGGAAGAACAUAGUAAAAUAUUGAAAAACUGUGUUUGUAAUUAUCUUACUUUCAUUUACUUUUAAGGGCCCCAUUUCAAUAAUUUUUUAAAGGGGCCAUGGCAUGAAAAUCUGACUUUUUCCAUGUUUAAGUACUACAAUUGGGUCCCCAGUGCUUCUAUCAACCUAGAAAAUGUGAAAAAGAUCAACCCAGUAACUUCCAUUCUCUGCAAGCAUGUGAAAAAAUAGGUAGUUGAAAUUUGGCUCUCCUUAUGAUGUCAGAAGGAGCUCUUAUUAUAAUAAUACCACACCUUAAUCUGCACUAUCCAACCACAGCACUGCCAUUUAGUGCAGAGAGGGAGAGACAGAGAAAAAAAUUCACAGCACAAUUAAGUUUCAAUUUCAACAAACCACCAUCAUUGUUAUCAGUGUUUGAAUUUCAUCAGCUCAUUUGCAUUUUAAAGUAGGGAUGCACCGAAAUGAAAAUUCUUGGCCAAAACUGAAAACCGAAAAAAGGAAACCAAGGCCGAAAAACCGAAACACCGAAAGAAAUUAUUAUGCCAAUUAUAAGUACAAUUGCAUUUAUGGCUAUCACUGUGUACUAACUUUACUAGGGGUGUGUGAUGGAUAAAAAAAAACUCACAGUUCGGAUCACAUUACAGUUUUUGAGGCACAGAUCAGAUUAUUUUUCAGAUCAGCAAAAAGCAGGUGGGAAAAAAUCUAAUAAACAAUAAAGAAAUUGCAAACA